ensembl:lncRNA
GAGCACCUGACUUCAAGGUCAAAUAAGUUACGCUUGGUAAUAAUUGGAGAUGAGGGGUUGGGGAGAGGAAAGCCAGGAGGCUCUAACAGCCCUGGCUAAGCGACCAGUGACGGAGGGCGACAGAUCCAUGGUGAGGAGCUCAGAGGGGUCUGUAACCUGCUGCCUGGGAUGUGUUUGCACCCAGUCCCACAGCCUGUGGCUCAGUGGGCAGCAGGAGUGUGGAGCUGCUUCCACACCAGAAUGAUGAGGGGUAACUGAGAUGGGAGGGAGAAACCCAGGAAGCCUGAAGGAGGUAUGUAUGUCUCCAAACCCCAAAUGCCCUGUCACCACAUUGUUACCGAACACAAGCAAACAGAUGGGGACAGAUGGCAUCUUAACCAGUUGUGAUUAAAAAUUCUCCUGCUUGCAAUCUUGACCCCAGUACCAUAUGAGCACAUUGCUGGGGUUACUCUCAAGGCCCUGGAAGAGGCCAGCAAGUGAGGGGUUCACCCGCAUAGGAGGUGCCCCCUCCCUCUGGGGCAUGGAUUGUGAUAAAAGUAGUACAAGGGGCAGCUAAAUAUUUAAAUUUUUUAAAUGCAUUACAGUAAAACACAUUGCCAUUAAUACCCUUUAACAUGUUCUCCCUUGCUUCAAACACACUUAUCCCAUCAUUCUUACCACUUUCCAAAGCAGUUCAGGAAGUCCUCUUUCCUAAGGGUCUUUAGGAGAUGCAAUAAAAAACCCAGAGUGAAUGCUGCUGCUCAGUGACACCCAGUGGAAAGGCAGGUUCACAAAAACAUUGCAGCGCGUCCUCAUCCACCUCACUCUUCAAAUCUGGCACCACACACACCACACAACUUCUGGCUCUUCCCCACAGUCAAAAUGACCAUGAAAGGUAAAUGUUUUGAAUCAAUUCAGGACAAUGAGGUGGCCGUGACAGCACAACUAAAGACACUCACAAAAGAAGACUUGCAGAACUGCUUCAGAAAGUGGCAAGAAUGAUGGGAUGAGUGUAUUUGAAGUGAGGGGGAGUAUUUGAGGGAGAGUAAUUGGCAUUGUGCCUUUUACUGUAAUACAUAUUUUAAGCAUUUACUGUAUUUUUUAUCACAUUUCAUAUUUAAAAUGAAGGGGUUGACAGUCAUUUCAGGCUGGCAGGGAAAACACAUUAAGUCAUUUACUCCUUCUAGCAACCCUGCUAUGGCUUGGUUAGGGUUAGUCCCCCAAAAGCUCAUGUGUUAGAAACCUAUUCCCCAGUGUAAUAAUAUUGAGAGGUGAUAAAGCUUUUAAGAUCCCCCGGAAGGGUUGAUCUAAGCACUCAAUACAUUGCCCUUUUAAUACUCUUCACAGGAAGUAAUCUAUCUGGAAAAUUUUUACAUUACAAAAAAAUCCAGUUCUUAAGAAAAGAUGAACCAAUACAAAAAGGUAGAAAGCAAAAGCAAAACUCCUAAAGGAGUAGGACUGGGGGAAUGAAGACCUACUACACACCUACUAUGCGCCUACUAUAUCUUACUAUGCAAAAUUGCAAAAGAAAAUAAAAAUAAAAAGAAGAAAAACAAAAAUGAACUUUUAAGUGUAUUUGAAUUAGAUAAUUUGAUCCUACCCUUUGGUCCCACAUGUCUUAGGUCAUGCAAAUUCUCAAAGAACCAGCUAGGAUGGCUCAAAGGAAUUUCUGAUGACCUUGAGCAUCCACCUGAGGUUUGAAAUUCAAAACCCGAGUUAGCACCUGACUGCAGAAGUCUGAUUUUUCUGCAGUUAUAUAAAGCGCCAAAGAAAACACAGAUGGAGCAGCCAAGAUGGAAGGUUUGUCGGUUGAGCAAGUCAAGGGAUAAAGUAUCCUUCCAAGGAUGAGAGCACACUAAAGGCAGAGCCCCAGGGAGAAGAUGGAAGCUCAGAUGCAUGGGAGACUGAAGCCUGGGAGGGCAGCAUUGAGGAGAGUGGUAGGGUCCAAGGCCAGGGACAGAGUGGAAUUUCAAAGUUCAGGAUUUCAGAGAUGAGGCAGCUCUGGGUGACAGCAAGGUCUGUAACAGGAUAGGAGAUACUGAUAGCAAAUGAGCAUCUAAGAUGAGUCACAGGACAGGAGACCAUUUGAUAUUGUGAGGAAUAGGCACUAAUGUAUAGGUUUAUAGGCUUCAAGCCUGCAAACUGUAAAGCCAGCUUUAAAUGCCACUGGAUUUUUAAAAUAUCACUUACCCCCCGCAGCUCAGUUUUGACUGAAAAUGCUUUACCUAGAAUAAUUCUGAAGUAACAAACCUCCCAAGUAAACAAACCAGGAUACUAGCAUUACCUUAAUCCCAAAUUAACAAACCAGGAUAUUAGCAUCACCUCAAUUCUGUACGUUCUCGUAAAAGUAGGAGCUGAGAGUUUUACUUGUUGAAGAUUUGAUUCUGCUCAAAGAAUGAUUUGUGAUUAGCCAGGUAUUAAUCCCAGCACUCCAAGAAGCUGAGACAGGAGGAUCAUAAGUUCAAGCCCAGCCUGGGCAACUUGGUGACUUAGCAAAACCCUGUCUUAGAAUAAAAAAUAAAAAGGGUCAGGGGGUGUAGUUCAGUGAAAGGCCCUGGGUUCAAUUUCCAGUACUGCAAAGUAAUAAUAAUAAUAAUUUACAAUUAAACACACACAAAAAUUUACCUUAUAGCUCCUGACUGAUGACCCUUUCGAGAAUAUUUUAUUCAGUGGCAUAAAAGAUCUGUAGUCUUAUUCAUGUUCUAAGGCUACAAGAUAAUAAAUACACAAAUGAACAUUAAUCAAUGAUAGGGUAGUAAAAAGCACUCAGUCCUCCCAGACACAUAGCCCACCAAGUUCUCUAAUUACGAUGUAGCCCGCUGAUUUUUCAGAGAGAGAGAAAAAAUGAACUUUACCAGGUAUUGUCUGGUGGCUUAAAAAGAAAAGAUAACAGGACCUUGACAUUGGAUGUAAUGUCCAGCGAGUAGUAAGAUUUCAAGGGCUUUCACAGUCAAGUGUAGAAGGGGUCAGGAAUAGAAAAAGAUUUUCUCUCCUUAAAUGUUGAUGAAAUCAAAACACUGAAGAAAAAUAUCAGAAAUCCCAGACCAACUCUAGCCAGAAAGUAAAUUGAUUAGAUGCUCCUCUAAGGAAAUUCAUAACAAAAGAACCAAUCUGUGUUUCAUUAAAUUCACCUGACGUGCUAAGAAGCCUCAGAACUGAACUGUGUAAAAGGUUCUGCACCCACAAGCUUUCUAGCAGGGAGUAACUAAGCAACAGCCUCUCUCCUGACUUUGGGAGGCAGGAUCAUCUGGGCCCCGCGCAUCUGCUCAGCAGAUGACAGGCACCUGGGCAGUGCUUUUUGCACGGUAGAAAUGGAGGCAUCCAGGCACUAGAUCUUAAGUGUGAAGUUGUCUUCAGGCAUCUUAUAAAACCAAGCAACGAUUUGCCCUUUCCACUUCCCCUGCUGAAUUUCCCCCAUCUCCAAGACAGAUGGAGAACAUGUAACAAACCAGCCCAAUGUGGAGGAGGCAAUCUGGGAUAUUAAAAAUAAAAUCUCUUCCAAAUCUUCACAAGCUCAUUUAAAAACACUUCCACCCAAGUGUAAGGCAGCUAACAGAGGUGUCUAAAAAUGGAAAGAAGAAGAAGAGAUGCCCCCAGGGUUCUUGUUUCAAAACCAGCCAGAAUUAACACUUCGCUCUCAGAGAGGGCCCCUUACACAUCAGUGAUUAGGAAUAAAUUUAGUCCUAUGUGGACUAGAAGAUGAUUGUAUCCCAGAAUCCUUAAAUAUAAAAAUGUUUAAUUAAGACAAAAAUAAGAGAAAUAAGUGAGUGUAAUUCAUACCCAAGUUCUAGGUUAAUGUAUUACCAGACUCCAAGUAAUACUGGGUACCAUUAGGUACAAAAAAUCCUCUUAGGGCUGAGGAUUUAGCUCAGUGGUUUUGCUGCCUGCUGCGCAAGUGCAAGGACCCAAGUCCGAUCCCGGUACCAAAAAAAAAAAAUUCUCUAAAAUGUCUCAAAAAAAAAUCCAUGAAGAAAAUAUGGUUCAGCUAGAUUUUGCCAUCAUAUUCUCUACCCUUACAACUAUAAGCUCUUUAUUAUAGAAACAUUAUAGCUUCUCAUUUUCAUUUUCAUGACACUUAAAUUUUAUAUUUUCAUAAUAUUUAAAAAUAGGAACCUAUCAAUAGUGCUCCUGAGUUUUAAAAUUUUCUACACAAGACUAAUUUGUUCUGGGCCAUAUGUAAUUUCAGAUUUUCAAGGGGUAGAUUAACCUCCCCAAAUUAUGUUCAAAUAUCACUACUCCUUUACCAGCAUCCAAAGAAUACAUCAAUAUUCAAUUAAAUGUAAAAAAAAAUUCAAUUAAAUGUAAAUAAAUUGUUUUCUCUUUUUUCACUUUCUACUGGGACAUAUAAAUAAAUUGAACUAUAUACUGAUGGAGAUUCAAUGUAAAUUACUUCUUUCUUAAUUUAUGUUAAUUUAUGGUGUCUCGACACACUGAGAAAUGACCUCACAGCUGGGGACCAUCUGGAAGAGGCCCACAAGGUUCAUUGAGUCCAGUAGAGGAGACCAGCUUCGAACCCACGAACAAGCCAGGAGGGACAAGAAUAGAAGCAGAGGAGACACCAUGGUGGCCUUAAGCAGGUGUUGGCAGUGGUCACAGCAAGGAUGGCAAGAAGUGUUCAGACCUGAAAUAUACUUUGGAGACAGAGGCUAGAGGCCUGGAGGCACAGCUGUACUCAGUGGAGCAAGACUGUUCAUCCUUCCAGGAGGUCACCUGAAGCUCAGCCAGGAUGGCAUGCUCUGCCCUGCAAACUCCGCAGAAGGAGCCCAUCUCUGGCCCCGCUCCUGUGACUAUGAGGAGUCUCCGCUGCCAGGCUUCCACCCUAAAAAGCAGCAUUGAUGACACAGACACCCACCGGGGACCCUGGAACCAGGAGGGCAGAGGCUGCUGAGCCAACUGUGUCACUGGGGCCCUGAAUGUGUGGGGUUGAGCUUGACAGGCCAGGUCCCCACGCACGUAAUGAGAUGGUAGGAGAGCUGAGGAGUGGCGCACCCCCUCCCAGCAGGGAAGACACAGCCUGAACCCCGAGAUGCAGACAGGGAGGGGCCGCCUAGGGGAGGCCACGGCCCAGUGGGUUUCCUGCGAUGGUGCCCUUCUCCUGUCCUUCAUUCAGACUGCACACGUUAUCUUACUGUAAUAAAUACAUCCUGUCUGGCAACACAACCUGGAUUACCUACUGAAGAAGCCAAUGAAAAAUGGCCAGGAUCUUUCUAGGGUUUCCCCUUCUGCAUAGCACAAGAUUCAUCAGCCCCUCUCACGACUGUGUGGCCAAAGGCAAGUCCGACUGCACUGGUGUGAACCCUGCAGGCCAGGUGCCCGUGGGGACACGAGAGAAGCAGUGCCCAGGGGUGUGGGCAGGAGCCACCAAGCACAGUGCUCUGGGGAUGGGCGCACACAGGGAGAAGACAC